CAGCCCAACCCAGCAUCCCCUUCAACCCCGAACCGGUUUAUUGUUGCGCCUCUACAACCUUACAGGCUGCCACAGUCGAUGCAGCAGCUAGCAGCAGGGCCCAUUGUCGUACUCGCGCAUCCUAGGUUCAUCUGCUUGCUGCUGUUUCGGCCAUCGCUGAAACCAACCAGGAGUUGGUGGCGUCAAAGCACCAAGCUCAAGCGCCUCUCCUUCAUCAGGUAAAAUGUCAACCUGAAAAUCGUCUAGGAAGCAGGGUACAUCCCCAAGAUCCCCAAUUGCAGUGGCGGAGCUUUGACAGGGCGAACCUGGGCACCCCAGGUCAUUUACUUAGAAGAUGAGCACUCCACCAGGCUGUUUGUAGUAAACAACUUUGGCGAUGCUCACGACAGGCAGUGAUGCUAUGUGAUGGUGUCGAGCCUUGGGUAGGAAAGCAGAACAUCAUCAACUCUGCCUCACCUC